GAUGAACGCUGGCGGCGUGCCUAAUACAUGCAAGUCGAGCGAACGGACGAGAAGCUUGCUUCUCUGAUGUUAGCGGCGGACGGGUGAGUAACACGUGGAUAACCUACCUAUAAGACUGGGAUAACUUCGGGAAACCGUAGCUAAUACCGGAUAAUAUUUUGAACCGCAUGGUUCAAAAGUGAAAGACGGUCUUGCUGUCACUUAUAGAUGGAUCCGCGCUGCAUUAGCUAGUUGGUAAGGUAACGGCUUACCAAGGCAACGAUGCAUAGCCGACCUGAGGGGUGAUCGGCCACACUGGAACUGAGACACGGUCCAGACUCCUACGGGAGGCAGCAGUAGGGAAUCUUCCGCAAAGGGCGAAAGCCUGACGGAGCAACGCCGCGUGAGUGAUGAAGGUCUUCGGAUCGUAAAACUCUGUUAUUAGGGAAGAACAUAUGUGUAAGUAACUGUGCACAUCUUGACGGUACCUAAUCAGAAAGCCACGGCUAACUACGUG
rnacentral:rRNA from 1 species